GACGAACGCUGGCGGCGUGCCUAAUACAUGCAAGUCGAGCGAGCGGAACUAACAGAUUUACUUCGGUAAUGACGUUAGGAAAGCGAGCGGCGGAUGGGUGAGUAACACGUGGGGAACCUGCCCCAUAGUCUGGGAUACCACUUGGAAACAGGUGCUAAUACCGGAUAAGAAAGCAGAUCGCAUGAUCAGCUUUUAAAAGGCGGCGUAAGCUGUCGCUAUGGGAUGGCCCCGCGGUGCAUUAGCUAGUUGGUAAGGUAGAGGCUUACCAAGGCGAUGAUGCAUAGCCGAGUUGAGAGACUGAUCGGCCACAUUGGGACUGAGACACGGCCCAAACUCCUACGGGAGGCAGCAGUAGGGAAUCUUCCACAAUGGACGCAAGUCUGAUGGAGCAACGCCGCGUGAGUGAAGAAGGUUUUCGGAUCGUAAAGCUCUGUUGUUGGUGAAGAAGGAUAGAGGUAGUAACUGGCCUUUAUUUGACGGUAAUCAACCAGAAAGUCACGGCUAACUACGUGCCAGCAGCCGCGGUAAUACGUAGGUGGCAAGCGUUGUCCGGAUUUAUUGGGCGUAAAGCGAGCGCAGGCGGAAGAAUAAGUCUGAUGUGAAAGCCCCUCGGCUUAACCGAGGAACUGCAUCGGAAACUGUUUUUCUUGAGUGCAGAAGAGGAGAGUGGAACUCCAUGUGUAGCGGUGGAAUGCGUAGAUAUAUGGAAGAACACCAGUGGCGAAGGCGGCUCUCUGGUCUGCAACUGACGCUGAGGCUCGAAAGCAUGGGUAGCGAACAGGAUUAGAUACCCUGGUAGUCCAUGCCGUAAACGAUGAGUGCUAAGUGUUGGGAGGUUUCCGCCUCUCAGUGCUGCAGCUAACGCAUUAAGCACUCCGCCUGGGGAGUACGACCGCAAGGUUGAAACUCAAAGGAAUUGACGGGGGCCCGCACAAGCGGUGGAGCAUGUGGUUUAAUUCGAAGCAACGCGAAGAACCUUACCAGGUCUUGACAUCUAGUGCCAUUUGUAGAGAUACAAAGUUCCCUUCGGGGACGCUAAGACAGGUGGUGCAUGGCUGUCGUCAGCUCGUGUCGUGAGAUGUUGGGUUAAGUCCCGCAACGAGCGCAACCCUUGUUAUUAGUUGCCAGCAUUGAGUUGGGCACUCUAAUGAGACUGCCGGUGACAAACCGGAGGAAGGUGGGGAUGACGUCAAGUCAUCAUGCCCCUUAUGACCUGGGCUACACACGUGCUACAAUGGGCAGUACAACGAGAAGCGAGCCUGCGAAGGCAAGCGAAUCUCUGAAAGCUGUUCUCAGUUCGGACUGCAGUCUGCAACUCGACUGCACGAAGCUGGAAUCGCUAGUAAUCGCGGAUCAGCACGCCGCGGUGAAUACGUUCCCGGGCCU
rnacentral:rRNA from 1 species